rnacentral:tRNA from 1 species
GGUACCUUAGCUCAGGUGGUAGAGCAAUGGACUGAAAAUCCAUGUGUCCUUGGUGCGACUCCAAGAGGUACCA